UACAGAGGUCUCAAGCGUUGUUCGGAUUCAUUGGGCGUAAAGGGUGUGUAGGUGGCGCCGUAAGUCGGGUGUGAAAUUUCGGAGCUUAACUCCGAAACUGCAUUCGAUACUGCGGUGCUUGAGGACUGGAGAGGAGACUGGAAUUCAUGGUGUAGCAGUGAAAUACGUAGAGAUCAUGAGGAAGACCAGUGGCGAAGGCGGGUCUCUGGACAGUUCCUGACACUGAGACACGAAGGCCAGGGGAGCAAACGGG
rnacentral:rRNA from 1 species